AUUGAACGCUGGCGGCAGGCUUAACACAUGCAAGUCGAGCGGUAACAGGAGAAGCUUGCUUCUCGCUGACGAGCGGCGGACGGGUGAGUAAUACUUAGGAAUCUACCUAGUAGUGGGGGAUAGCUCGGGGAAACUCGAAUUAAUACCGCAUACGACCUACGGGAGAAAGGGGGCAACUUGUUGCUCUCGCUAUUAGAUGAGCCUAAGUCGGAUUAGCUAGAUGGUGGGGUAAAGGCCUACCAUGGCGACGAUCUGUAGCUGGUCUGAGAGGAUGAUCAGCCACACCGGGACUGAGACACGGCCCGGACUCCCACGGGAGGAAGCAGUGGGGAAUAUUGGACAAUGGGGGCAACCCUGAUCCAGCCAUGCCGCGUGUGUGAAGAAGGCGUUUUGGUUGUAAAGCACUUUAAGCAGUGAAGAAGACUCUAGGGUUAAUACCCUUAGACGAUGACAUUAGCUGCAGAAUAAGCACCGGCUAACUCUGUGCCAGCCGCCGCCGUAA
rnacentral:rRNA from 1 species